rnacentral:tRNA from 1 species
AAGAUCUUAUGUUAAACAAACAAAUAACCUUCAAAGUUAUAAAUAAAAGUAAUUAAUCUUUUAGAUCUUA